AACGAACGCUGGCGGCAUGCCUAACACAUGCAAGUCGAACGAAACCUUCGGCUUUCGCGUCGCACGGGCGCGUACCGCGUGGGAACAUGCCCUUAGGUCCGGAAUAUCUUCUCGCCCGGGCUGCUAAUUCCGGAUAGUGUCCUCGGACUAAUGGUUUAUCGCCUUGGGGUGGGCCGGCGUUGGAUUAGCUCGUUGGUAGGGUAAAGGCCAACCAGGGCGAGGGUCCUGAGCUGGUCAGUGAGGUUGAUCAGCCACACUGGGACUGAGACACGGCACAGACGCGUACGAGAGGAAGAAGGGGGGAAUAUUGGAGAAGGGGCGAAGGGCUGAGGAAGCAGGGCCGCGUGAGGGAUGAAGGCCUUAGGGGUGUAAAGCUCUUUUGGCCGGGAUGAUAGUGACGGUACCGGGAGAAGAAGCUCCGGCUAACUCCGUG
rnacentral:rRNA from 1 species